UGGGGAAUAUUGCACAAUGGGCGCAAGCCUGAUGCAGCCAUGCCGCGUGUAUGAAGAAGGCCUUCGGGUUGUAAAGUACUUUCAGUCGGGAGGAAGGUGUCAAGGUUAAUAACCUUGGCAAUUGACGUUACCGACAGAAGAAGCACCGGCUAACUCCGUGCCAGCAGCCGCGGUAAUACGGAGGGUGCAAGCGUUAAUCGGAAUUACUGGGCGUAAAGCGAACGCAGGCGGUUGAUUGAGUCAGAUGUGAAAUCCCCGGGCUUAACCCGGGAAGUGCAUCUGAUACUGGUAAGCUAGAGUCGUGUAGAGGGGGGUAGAAUUCCAGGUGUAGCGGUGAAAUGCGUAGAGAUGUGGAGGAAUACCGGUGGCGAAGGCGGCCCCCUGGACAAAGACUGACGCUCAGGUGCGAAAGCGUGGGGAGCAAACAGG
rnacentral:rRNA from 1 species